GUCUUCCCAGCUUGGUCCUCCCUCUUUCUCAUGUCCUUAAGAUUGAUGCUCACCUCAAUCAUCCCUCAAGCAUAGUGAUGGAAGCACUCUGAAAUCUCUCAGUGGGACAGAAGGAUAUUCUAUGGAUGCCAAAUACAGGAUAGAUCAUACCAAUGCCUGUCAAUCAUGUUGCCAACCAUUUCCACAUCCUUACGGAAAGUCCCUGUCCCCUCACUCAGGCUGUGGUCAAUGCACAAAAUACAGCUGCUACACUCACUAUUGCUCUUCUCACAGACCUAGAACCGGAUUUGAGGUCAGACAUCAAGGAAGAGUUUGCAAAACUAUUUGAGGAGCAUGGAAUCGUUAGAGAAAAUAGCAUUGACCUAUCUAAUGCCAAUCACUGUCUCCAGGCCCUAGAAUGAAGAUUGGCCUGAGCCUCCAGUGUUGAGUGGAGACUUCUUACCAGGACUCCAGCAUCAUCCCUUCCUAUCCAUACAGCAUCCCGUGACAAGUUCUGUGAUCUGCUUUCAAUCAUGUCUCACAGAGAAUUGCAGUCCUUGUCUCUCCAGCAUGCUCCUAGGAUAACUCAUCAAGAAUCAAAGUCUUUCUUUAAAUUUCUCUUUGAUACACCCAUGACAAUUAUCCUUGAAUUUCUUCUUCUUCCUGAUCAAAAAAUGAUUACACUUGCGUUUAAA